rnacentral:rRNA from 1 species
GACGAACCAUGCGAACGUUGUUCGGAAUCACUGGGCUUAAAGGGCGCGUAGGCGGGUAGCCAAGUCGGUGGUGAAAUCUUUCGGCUUAACCGGAAAAUUGCCAUAGAUACUGGCUGUCUUGAGGGAGGUAGGGGCAGAUGGAACUUCCAGUGGAGCGGUGAAAUGUGUUGAGAUUGGAAGGAACGCCGGUGGCGAAAGCGAUCUGCUGGACCUCUGCUGACGCUGAGGCGCGAAAGACAGGGUAGCGAACGGG